rnacentral:lncRNA from 1 species
AGCAAUGGCAAUCACCUCAAUUUUCCUUUAACCAUAUCAUCUUUAUUUCCUUUCUUACCACUUCAGGAGUAAACUAAUAUGAAAGCAACCUGGAAACAAACUGAAUAAACAGUCUCAUGCAUCCCCUGAAAGAUUCUGUGGCAACUCUGAGUCUCCCCCGGCCCCUGUAUUUUCUCUCACUUUAUCUCUCUAUGCUUCAUUACAGCCACCAGUUACUAGACCUGAUCUGGGGAGAUGACAUCAAUAGUUUCAUUUAAUCUGCCCAGUGGCCCUACAAGGUUCAUUUAUAAACUCGACUCCUCGCUGAUGGCCCCAGUCUUUCUGAUCCACACCCCCUUCAUUCCAGGAAAACUGAAAGUCCCAGGUACAAUUAGGCUUAUCAGCACAAGGGACAAAGACCCUGUAAAAGAAUGACUAAUUGGUCGAAGGAACCAAAGGCUGAAGUGAAGAAUCACCUUUUAAAGUGGAACUUCUCCUUGACUUCACUUGUAAAAGCCCUGCCGAACAUUGACGGCAUAGAAACCAGGGAGGGCAAGGAAGCAGUGUGUCAUUUCCCCUACACCUUCAGAGAUAAUGGUCCAUGCUGAUCUGUGAUUUAUUUCUUGUACCAAAAGCUC